CAGCGCCACGAGUGGCAAUCGCGUUUAUUGGGCCUAAAGCAUCCGUAGCCGGCGCUGUAAGUUUUCGGUUAAAUCUGUACGCUCAACGUACAGGCUGCCGGGAAUACUGCAGCGCUAGGGAGUGGGAGAGGUAGACGGUACUCGGUAGGAAGGGGUAAAAUCCUUUGAUCUAUUGAUGACCACCUGUGGCGAAGGCGGUCUACCAGAACACGUCCGACGGUGAGGGAUGAAAGCUGGGGGAGCAAACCGGAUUAGAUACCCGAGUAGUCC
rnacentral:rRNA from 1 species